AGGCUCCGGUGCAGGCGCGGAUUGGUCACCGGUGGCGCCCUCCAGGCGGUGUGGCGGCGUGAGGGCGUGGGUGAGCACGGCGAAGGAGCGGAUUGACCUGAAGGGGGCGAGGGCGGGGGCGGAUUUACCUCGAGCAAGAAGAGCAGCGACGGUUCGAGACUUCGGUGCAGGCGCGGAUUGGUCACCGGUGGCGCCCUCCAGGCGGUGCGGCGUCGUGAGGGCGUGGGUGAGCACGGCGAAGGAGCGGAUUGACCUGACCGUGGGGCAGCCUGACCGCGACGGCAGCGCGUGCAGAGAGGAAGGGAUACAGGAUCUGCGUGGCGGAGCUGGACGGUGGUUGGUCGUAGUGCGGGGGCAGCCUGGCGUGCGUCCGGCGGCCGCGACGGCAGCAAGCGCGGAGAGGAAGGGUUAGGGGAGCUGCGUGGGGGAGCUGCGCGGCGGUUAGCGCGCGCAGAGAGGAAGUGCUAGGAGAGCUUCGUGGUGGAGCUGAACGGAAGAGGAAGGGAGUUGCGGAAAGGUAUACGGGAGAGGCAGGCCAAUGAAUACGCUAUG
rnacentral:lncRNA from 1 species